UUGCAUGGCUGUCGUCAGCUCGUGUCGUGAGAUGUCGGUUAAGUCCGCUAACGAGCGCAACCCUCGUCGUAUGUUAUAUGUGUCAUACGAGACUGCCGGUAAAAAGACCGGAGGAAGGUGAGGAUGAUGUCAAGUCAGCAUGACCUUUAUAUCCAGGGCUACACACACGCUACAAUGGUCUGUACAAUGGGUAGCCAAGCCGCGAGGCGGAGCCAAUCCUGAAAGCAGGCCUCAGUUCAGAUUGCAGUCUGCAACUCGACUGCAUGAAGCCGGAGUUGCUAGUAACCGCAGGUCAGCAAUACUGCGGUGAAUACGUUCCCGGGUCUU
rnacentral:rRNA from 1 species